ACCGGCAGUUCAAGUGGUGGCCAUUUUUAUUGGGCCUAAAGCGUUAGUAGCCGGUUUGAUAAGUCUCUGGUGAAAUCCCGCAGCUCAACUGUGGGACCUGCUGGAGAUACUAUUAGACUUGAGGUCGGGAGAGGUUAGAGGUACUCCCGGGGUAGGAGUGAAAUCCUGUAAUCCUUGGGGGACCACCUGUGGCGAAGGCGUCUCACUAGGACGGCUCCGACAGUGAGGAACGAAAGCCGGGGGCGCAAACCG
rnacentral:rRNA from 1 species